rnacentral:rRNA from 1 species
CAGUCGCCGCGGGAAUACGAGGGGAGCUAGCGUUAUUCGGAAUUACUGGGCGUAAAGCGCACGUAGGCGGCUUUGUAAGUUAGAGGUGAAAGCCCAGAGCUCAACUCUGGAAUUGCCUUUAAGACUGCAUCGCUUGAAUCCAGGAGAGGUGAGUGGAAUUCCGAGUGUAGAGGUGAAAUUCGUAGAUAUUCGGAAGAACACCAGUGGCGAAGGCGGCUCACUGGACUGGUAUUGACGCUGAGGUGCGAAAGCGUGGGGAGCAAACAGGAUUAGAUACCCCGGUAGUCCCUGUCUCUUAUAC